CCUACGGGGGGCUGCAGUGAGGAAUAUUGGUCAAUGGCCGCAGGGCUGAACCAGCCAAGUCGCGUGAGGGAUGACGGUCCUAUGGAUUGUAAACCUCUUUUGUCAGGGAGCAAAGGGCGCCACGUGUGGCGCUUUGCGAGUACCUGAAGAAAAAGCAUCGGCUAACUCCGUGCCAGCAGCCGCGGUAAUACGGAGGAUGCGAGCGUUAUCCGGAUUUAUUGGGUUUAAGGGGUGCGCAGGCGGAAUGUCAAGUCAGCGGUAAAAUUUCGGGGCUCAACCCCGUCGUGCCGUUGAAACUGGCGUUCUUGAGUGAGCGAGAAGUAUGCGGAAUGCGUGGUGUAGCGGUGAAAUGCAUAGAUAUCACGCAGAACUCCGAUUGCGAAGGCAGCAUACCGGCGCUCAACUGACGCUCAUGCACGAAAGCGUGGGUAUCGAACAGGAUUAGAUACCCUGGUAGUC
rnacentral:rRNA from 1 species